rnacentral:rRNA from 1 species
UACGUAGGGUGCGAGCGUUAAUCGGAAUUACUGGGCGUAAAGCGUGCGCAGGCGGUGAUGUAAGACAGAUGUGAAAAUCCCCGGGCUCAACCUGGGAACUGCAUUUGGGACUGCAAGGCUGGAGUACGGCAGAGGGAGGUGGAAUUCCACGUGUAGCAGUGAAAUGCGUAGAGAUGUGGAGGAACACCGAUGGCGAAGGCAGCCUCCUGGGCUAGUACUGACGCUCAUGCACGAAAGCGUGGGGAGCAAACAGG